GACGAACGCUGGCGGCGUGCCUAAUACAUGCAAGUCGAGCGGAUGGAAGGAAGCUUGCUUCCUAAAGUCAGCGGCGGACGGGUGAGUAACACGUGGGCAACCUGCCCCUAAGAUCGGGAUAACUUCGGGAAACCGGAGCUAAUACCGGAUAUGAUAAUGUCUCACAUGAGACAUAAUGGAAAGACGGUUUCGGCUGUCACUUAGGGAUUGGCCCGCGGCGCAUUAGCUAGUUGGUGAGGUAAAGGCUCACCAAGGCGACGAUCCGUAGCUGGUGUGAGAGCAUGACCAGCCACACUGGGACUGAGACACGGCCCAGACUCCUACGGGAGGCAGCAGUGGAGAAUCUUGCGCAAUGGGCGAAAGCCUGACGCAGCGACGCCGCGUGCGGGAAGAAGGCCUUCGGGUUGUAAACCGCUUUCAGGAGGGACGAAGCCACUCGGGUGAAUAGCCCAGAGGGUGACGGUACCUCCAGAAGAAGCCCCGGCUAACUACGUGCCAGCCGCCGCGGUAAGAC
rnacentral:rRNA from 1 species